AGUGAACGCUGGCGGCAGGCCUAACACAUGCAAGUCGAACGGCAGCACAGUAAGCGCUCGUUCCUACGGGUGGCGACUGGCGGGUGGGUGAGGAAUACAUCAGCAUCCACUUUGUCUGGGGGGACAACGUAGGGAAACAUACGCUAAUACCUCAUACUACCAACGGGUGAAAUCACGAGAUCUUCGGACUUUGGGCGAGUCAAUGAGCCGAUGUCGGAUUAGCUAGUUGGCGGGGUAAAGGCCCACCAAGGCGACGCUACGUAGCUGGUCUGAGAGGAUGAUCGGCCACACUGGAACUGAGACACGGUCCAGACUCCUACGGGAGGCAGCAGUGGGGAAUCUUGGACAAUGGGCGCAAGCCUGAUCCAGCCAUGCCGCGUGAGUGAAGAAGGCCUUCGGGUUGUAAAGCUCUUUUGUUAGGAAAGAAAAGCUGCGGGUUAAUACGCCGCUGUUCUGACGGUACCCAAAGAAUAAGCACCGGCUAACUUCGUG
rnacentral:rRNA from 1 species